UCAUAUGCGACAGAAGCAAAAUGUCGCGUACAAAAUUUCUUUCUUCCACGUCGAAUUUAUUGCUGACUGGACAGAGAAAAAUGCAAUCUUCCCACCGUCCCUGCAAUCUCCUAUGCCCGGUGGCGCCAUAUGCGGCCGCCGCACCCCGUCCUCAACAGCGGCCGGCGCAUCUUCUCGGAACCCACCGGCAGCGCCUUCUCUCCCCUCCGCGCCGCCACUGUGAAGCCCGCUUUCUCUCCGGCAUGGCCCCAAUGGCCACUUCCUCCUCCCCCACCGCGAACCCCCAGCCAUUCAAGUUGAUCCUGGGGUCUUCGUCAGUCGCCAGGAAGAACAUCCUCAACGAGAUGGGGUUCGAGUUCCAAGUCAUGACCGCGGACAUCGACGAGAGGAGCAUAAGAAGGAAGGAUCCGGAUGAGCUAGUCAUGCUUCUUGCGGAGGCCAAGGGCCAGCCGACAAAUAUGCCGGGCUCAGGGGCAAGACGACACCAAGGGGCCCUGUUGACACAUAAAAACUUGAAAUAUGCUGAUGCUAUCAUGUCUAGAAUGAACAUUUCUGAUUACCAGAAGGAAGGCGACCAACCAACACUGCUGAUCACCUCUGACAUAGUGGUUGUACAUGAAGGGAUUAUUAGAGAAAAGCCAAGCAGCAAGGAAGAAGCACGCCAAUUCCUGAAAGGUUAUUCUGGUGGGCAUGUGUCAACUGUGGGUGGUGUGGUUGUAACUAAUCUUACGACUGGCAAGAAGCUUGGCAGUUUAGACAAAGCUGAGGUGUACUUCCAUGACAUACCAGAUGAGAUAAUUGAGAACCUGAUCGAUGAGGGGGUAGUAUUUAGGGUUGCGGGUGGCUUGCUGCUAGAACAUCCAUUGGUGUUGCCGUUUGUCGAAGCAGUGGUUGGUUCUAGUGACAGUGUAAUGGGGCUAUCAAAGGAUCUGGCAAACAAACUCAUUCACGAGGCAUUGUUGGCAUAGCCUAGCAGUUUGGGUGUGAUCAACAUCGAUUGAAUCCUUACUGCACUGCAUGAAGGUAAUGCGAUGGCGAAAACCUGUCGAGACAUGGUUAUUGUUAUGGUUUGAAUUAUAUGAAGAAUUCCAGGCACAAUGGCACGAAGAUUCAUUGAGUGUGCAAGAACACUUCAGAACUGAUGUCUGCUAUUAUGAUCACUGAUGAGAUGUCACCUGAAACAUCCUCCUGUGGAAACAUCCUGAAUCUUGGUUCUCACAUAAGUGGCUAUUGGCCUAUUUCAGUUUACAUGGUGGCGCUGUUCUUGGACAACUUUGCAAGUGGAUGCCUAUUAUAAAAGAAAUGAGAAAGCUGCACUUUACCAACGCCGAACCUGGCUACAACGCCAAUCUAGCUGGUCAUUGUACUUUCCUAAAAAAAAGCUGGUCAUUGUACUCGCAUGUUUUUUAAGGGAAAGCGACUUGGCUAGAUUACAAUCAUACAUGCAGGGCUAAAUAAUAUUAUGGGCAUAUCUUUUGAUCUCA